AUUGAACGCUGGCGGCAGGCCUAACACAUGCAAGUCGAACGAGUGGCGGACGGGUGAGUAAUGUCUGGGAAACUGCCCGAUGGAGGGGGAUAACUACUGGAAACGGUAGCUAAUACCGCAUACCAUCGGAUGUGCCCAGAUGGGGUUAGAGAGGAGGUGGGGGAACGACUCACCUAGGCGACGAUCCCUCGCGGGUCUGAGAGGAUGACCAGCCAAACUGGAACGGGGACACGGUCCAGACUCCUACGGUAGGCAGCAGUGGGGAAUAUUGCACAAUGGGCGCAAGCCUGAUGCAGCCAUGCCGCGUGUAUGAAGAAGGCCUUCGGGUUGUAAAGUACUUUCAGCGAGGAGGCGUUACUCGCAGAAGAAGCACCGGCUAACUCCGUGCCAGCAGCCGCGGUAAUAC
rnacentral:rRNA from 1 species